CACAUCCUUGCCAACAGUUAUUUUUUUCUUGUAUUCUUGAUAACUGCAAUUCUGACUAGAGUGAGAUGAAAUCUUAAGAGUAGUUUUGAUUUGCAUUUCUCUAAUUGCUAGAGAUAUAGAAUAUUUUUUCAUAUAUUUGUUGAUCAAUUGUAUAUCUUCUGAGAAGUGUCUGUUUAGUUCCUUGGCCCAUUUAUUGAUUGGGUUAUCUUUUUUUUUUUUUUGGUGUUAAGUUUUUUGAGUUCUUUAUAUAUCCUAGAGAUUAGUGCUCUAUCUGAUGUGCUUGUGGUAAAAAUUUGCUCCCAUUCUGUAGGUUCUCUCUUCACUUCAUUGUUUGUUCUUUUUUCAUUUUUUAUUUUAAUUUGUUAUAUAUAACAGCAUAAUGCAUUACAAUUAAUAUUACACAAUUAGAGCACAAUUUUUCAUAUCUCUGGUUGUACAGAACAUAGAGUCACACCAUUCGUGUCUUCAUACAUGUACUUACAGUAAUGGUGUCCAUCUCAUUCCACCUUCCUUCUUAUCUGCAAGCCCCCUCCCUUCCCCUCCUUCCCCUUUUCCCUUUCGCCCUAUCUAGAGUUCAUCUAAUCCUCCCAUGCCCCACUGCAUUAUGAAUCAGCAGCCUUAAAUCCAUCCCAUUUAUUGAUUCUUGAUAUUAAUUUUUACGCUAUAGGAGUCUUAUUAAGGAAGUUGGGGCCUAAUCUGACAUGAUAGAAAUUUGGACCUACUUUUUCUUCUAAUAGACACAGUCUCUCUGGUUUAAUUCCUAGGUCCUUGAUCCACUUUGAGUUGAGUUGUGUGCAUGGUGAGAGAUAGGGGUUUAAUUUCAUUUUGUUGCAUAUGGAUUUCGAGUUUUCCUAGCACCAUGUGUUGAAGAGGCUGUCUUUUCUCCAAUGUACGCUUUUGGCAC
rnacentral:lncRNA from 1 species